rnacentral:rRNA from 1 species
CAGCCGCCACGGUAAUACGUAGGGUGCAAGCGUUAAUCGGAAUUACUGGGCGUAAAGCGUGCGCAGGCGGUUUGUUAAGACAGAUGUGAAAUCCCCGGGCUCAACCUGGGAACUGCAUUUGUGACUGGCAAGCUAGAGUGUGGCAGAGGGGGGUGGAAUUCCGCGUGUAGCAGUGAAAUGCGUAGAUAUGCGGAGGAACACCGAUGGCGAAGGCAGCCCCCUGGGCCAACACUGACGCUCAUGCACGGAAGCGUGGGGAGCAAACAGGAUUAGAUACCCCCGAGUCCCUGUCUCUUAUACA